AUUACUUUGGCAGAAAGAGUGUAUUAAAUUUAGAAUUUAAUAAUAUAUAUUUAGGGUAAAUAUAUAGGUAAUA
rnacentral:tRNA from 1 species